UUGUGAUGAUGAGGACAACUAAUCAACAAGGAUUUAAAUCUAUCCAAGAUUAGUACAAACUUUCUCCUCCUUUCUGUUUAAAACUCAAAAUAUCAGUCCUCAACUU